rnacentral:pre_miRNA from 13 species
GAACAGAUACAAAACUGGCUUUCACUCUGAUCUGACAGAGUUUUUUUUCUUUUCUGAGAUCAUUGUGAAAGCUGAUUUUGUCGAAAGUUUCGA